CCUACGGGUGGCAGCAGUGAGGAAUAUUGGUCAAUGGCCGAGAGGCUGAACCAGCCAAGUCGCGUGAGGGAAGACGGCCCUACGGGUUGUAAACCUCUUUUGUCGGGGAGCAAAGCGAGUCACGUGUGACUCAUUGAGAGUACCCGAAGAAAAAGCCUCGGCUAACUCCGUGCCAGCAGCCGCGGUAAUACGGGGGAUGCGAGCGUUAUCCGGAUUUAUUGGGUUUAAAGGGUGCGCAGGCGGGGGUGCAAGGGAGCGGUAAAAUUGCGGGGCUCAACCCCGCACCGCCGUUGAAACUGCAUCCCUUGAGUGCGCGAGAAGUAUGCGGAAUGCGUUGUGUAGCGGUGAAAUGCAUAGAUAUCACGCAGAACUCCGAUUGCGAAGGCAGCAUACCGGCGCGCAACUGACGCUCAUGCACGAAAGCGUGGGUAUCGAACAGGAUUAGAUACCCGGGUAGUC
rnacentral:rRNA from 1 species